GUUUUCCUGUGGCACAGUGGUUCAGUGUGUCUGGCAGUUAACCAGAAGGUUGGUGGUUUGAGCCCUACCAGGGACA